rnacentral:rRNA from 1 species
GUAGGUGCGAGCGUUAAUCGGAAUUACUGGGCGUAAAAGCGUGCGCAGGCGGUUUGGUAAGACAGAUGUGAAAUCCCCGGGCUUAACCUGGGAACGGCGUUUGUGACUGCCAAGCUAGAGUACAGCAGAGGGGGGUGGAAUUCCUGGUGUAGCAGUAAAAUGCGUAGAGAUCAGGAGGAACACCGAUGGCGAAGGCAGCCCCCUGGGUUGAUACUGACGCUCAUGCACGAAAGCGUGGGGAGCAAACAGGAUUAGAUACCCUGGUAGUCCACGCCCUAAACGAUGCCAACUGGGUGUUGGGGAAGGAGACUUCCUUAGUACCGAACKAACGCGUGAAGUUGGCCGCC